rnacentral:SRP_RNA from 1 species
GCUGGGCAUGGUGGUGCAUGCCUGUAAUCCCAGCUACUCGGGAGGCUGAGAUAGGAGACUCGCUUGAACCCAGGAGGCGGAGGUUGCAGUGAGCUGAGAUCAUGCCAUUGCACUCCAGCCUGGGUGACAGAGGGAGACUCCGUCUCAA